GACGCUGCAGGAGCUUGGAGGGACUGCCCCCAACAGCAGGUACAUUGUGAAUGGAAGCGGGUGAGCCAGGGGCCCAGCAGACGCCGUUCUGUGGAAAUAAGUCUGUGGCCACUCAGUGAGUGAGUCCAGAUUUAAGAACAGUCACUGGAAAAAAUUUACUGUCCAUCUAAAUCCAUUCACAGAGAAUGAUCCAGAGGCCCAUCCAUGUGGACAUCCUUCGAUCCUCUUCCAGAAGCAGGAAGAGAUGACAUACCUCCAAGUCCCCCCAAGGCCUUUACCCUGUAUUCCAGCCCACUCGCUGUUGCACUGGCUCACACAGCUGCGCCUGGUCCCACACACAUGGGCAUAUCUCCUCUGUGACCCUCAAACAUCAGCCUCCCUGCUUCCUGGCUUGGGUCAUAUGCAGAAGCUUUAGGUCAUCUGGGAGUGUGAUAUCGUGCACUCCUGGAUCAAGCUCCAUAUUCCAGUGUUGAAGAGGACAGAACACUGAGAACAUAGUUCAUUUGGCCUCUUUGGGCUCAGAGGCUCAGUGACUUCGGAAGCCGCUUUGGAUUUCCCCAUCUUGCUCCCAUGAAAGUAUUAUGAGAGCUUUGGUGGAAUCUGAAGUCCUCACCGUGUUCCCUCCAGCUUCUGUGAGCCAGCACUGCUUUCCUCGUCAGCAGCCCACUUGCUCACCAUAUUCUCCAUAUAUACCAGACACUCUCAUCUUCUUUCCCACCAGUUGGCUUUUACGCCAACUGUUCCUGCUGACAAGAAUGCCUGACAUCUGGCCAAUUCUUCCUCAUCUUCUACAUCUCAGUGUUUGCUCUACUAUGCUGAGCAAGCCACCUUCAAGGAAAUACCUUCUUCCAUGCUCAGUGAGAGAGCGGCAGUUGGGUGCCCAGGGGUGAGAUCCGAGGCAUCAUUUUGUUAGCUGUGCAGAAGGCCAGGGAGUGAGGGCAGGGCCCAACCAGCAGGAACCUUCACCAGCCAGGUUCUGCCCACACCUGGAAGAAUUAGCCCAGCUGCUCAGGGUAGCUGUAUGCUGACACCUGGAAACUGCCCACAGCCUCUUAGCCUGGGUCCACCCUCAGAAGUGUCUUCUGACGUCCAGAAGCAACUGAAUGACACAGAAGCCUGGUAAUGUGUAAAUGCAAUCAAUUUUUAUACUCAAGGGAAAGUAUAAACUUUAUUUUAAGCUAAGUUCUUAAUGUUUACUAAGACUAUAUUUUAUAAAAAGUAAAUGUUAUUUUAUUAUGGGUAUAAUAAACUGAACUAGGGGGAAAGAGAGCCAAGUAUAAAGGACAAGCUAUAUCCUCUGGGGAGAUACUGAGUGCCAGGAAGGAGCUUGCUUGGUUUAGAGCCCAGGCGGGUGGUGUAGUAGGAGCACGGUACCUAGGAGGCCGACCUGGGUUUGAGCUCUUGGUUCAGGCCUGCUCAGCCCAGUCACUUCCCCUCUGUGGGUCCUCAGUUUCCACACUGUGAAGUGAAGGGCUUUGAUGAGAUAAUUCAGAUCCUUUCUAUUUUAACACAGUAUGAUUCUGAAGGAGGAGAAGGACAGCUAACUUUUAAUGUCAGGGGCCAGAGUAGUCAACUAGAUUAGAUGGGCUGUAAGUGACAGAAAACUGUAAGUAAUGGUGACUUAUACAAUUUUGAAGAUUAUUUUUCCCUCAUAGGAAAGCCUAGAGAUUAGCCAUCUAUGGAUAGCAUGGAAUAUCAGGGACCCAGGCUCCUUCUGCCUCUUUGCACCACUUAGAAUGGUGCCAAGUUCAUGAUCCAAGAUGGAGGUUAGCCAUCUGCUUACACUCCGUUGGUGAGAACUUAGUCUUAUGGACACACCUACCUGCAAGGGGAAUCUAUCAAGCGUAGUUUUUUUUGUAGAUAGCUGUGGGGCUCCUACUGCUGAGGAAUAAGAAAACACAUGGAGUGGGCUUGCCAAAAAGGGUUAAUUAAGGAAAUGCCCAAAAAUUAUAGAGCAGAAAACAGUACUUAAAAUGAAAUCAGAAUCAUUAAGAGUCUGCCUGUUUUAGAGUUUGGCCAAAAGGCAAGGCAAAUAGAGCAAUCGUCUUGCUCAGCAUUUUGGGGGAAGGCCGAGACUUUGGCUUGGCAUAGAAGGGAACGGCAUGGUCAAUAUGUGAAGAGAAAACAGACUCCUUAAGCCCUUCAGUAGACUUAGGAGGCAGGACAAGAAAGAAAACUAUGCUAAGAAAUAGGGGAACUCUGCCACUUAGCAGAGAGGGCCCAGAAUAAAAAAUUCUUUAAGCAAGACUGAAGUAAAGUUCAAGGGGCCAAAGCUUUACUCUCAGACGUAUGCCUACACUUUGCUUUCUGCUCUGUAGCUUUUACUCUGAGAUUUCUCACAUUCCCAUUUCUAUGUGUGAUAUUGCUGUGACUCAUGGAAAUGGAGAGAGAGAGAAGAAUUAGAAGAACGAGGCCUUUAGUCUCCUGGCUGUAGCCCAAAGAGGGCAUCUCCACCUUCUUCCCACUCUGCACAAGCUGGGAAGGGGCAGGGAAGCUGGUGCCCAGGGAAAGCUAGGCAACAAUGAGUGAAGCUUGAAGCAGGGAAGAAAGGGUCUGAAGCUUACACAGUUGCUUAUCUGUUACAAUACUUUAGACCUGGCCCUCCAACUCAGACUUCUGCACUAGGAGUUGAGGAUGUUCAAAGACCCACAACUCAGACAAGAAGAAGGAGACUAAGCCACUUGAGAGAUUUCUUUUCACUCACCCAACCAUCUCUCCUGAUCAUGGUCAUUUCCUCACCCACCUCUCUCAGUCCUUUAUCACUUCAGAGAAUAAAAAGCAGAGAAUGAAAAGAGGAGAGGAAGACAGUGAAAGGUAAUGAUCUGAGUUAGAUCUGCAAGCUGAUGUAAUAGUUUAACACAGUAGAAGUGUCUCUAUCACAUCUAACAGUCUAAUGAGUGAGGUGGGGAGGAGGAAUCCAGGGAGCUGUAGGCUUUUCCAUCUUCAUCGUAUAGCUGCCAUCAUUGUCCUGGGCACCAGUGUCCAGCAGAUGCUGGGGAAAGAGCAUGAGAGGCUGCAGGUGGGGAGCUUUAUCUGCAAGCCCAGAAGCGGCGCACUGCUCAUGUUCCAGUGGUCAGAAUUCAGGUGUGUGAGCACAUUUAACUCAAGGGAGACUGAAAGAUACAGAGUGUUUGCCCAGGAAGAGGAGAGAAUGGGUCUGUAAUCAGCUGGUAGCCUCAGCCAUAGUGGACGUGAGAGGGAAAGGCAAAUAAAAUACUCUGGAGGCGAGUGACCAUGCAAAGUUAACCUUGUCUAAAGAAGGGCUUUGGACCACAGACUACAUGAGGAAACGCAGUCUUUGAAAAAUCACUAAUUUUCUCAAAGAGGACAACCUUGGUUCUCAUUUGUUUCCCUUUCGUCCAUGUUGGGACCCCAGUGUUCAAAUCAGACUCAGCAACUUUAGAGUUACUGUGCUCUGCUAGAUGCCCAGAAUGUUAGGAUUGCUAAGAACCCUAAUGAUAAUCAGUCACAUCCAAAGACCCUUGAAACCUUCUAUACAGCUCCUGACAAAGGACUACUGCCUGAAUGCCUCCUAUGCUGGGGAACUCUGUCUUAUAAGACUGCCCGAGCCAUUACUUCAUUAAUUAAAUAUCUUUGUAAUGCAUUUCCUCUGUCAGGCACCAAGAAUACAAGGUGACAAAAUGCUAGGCCAUUAAGAAUUUCAUAGUGCAGAACAAAUUUGUCUGCUAGCUUCAUUUGUCCAAUAGUCACGUACUUUGCUUCUGCUGAUGGUACUUGUCACUUCUCUCCAUUGCACAGGUCACCCCGUCACCUGGGUGAUAUAUCAUAGUCCUGUUUCAGACCUCAGCCUACCUCACUCCAGUUAUUCCUAGAAAAGUCCAUUCCAACUCCUAUGGGGUAUUUAAAAACUGCCUACAGCAUUUUUCAAAUCUUCUUCUCCUUAGAGGAUGUUUUGGAGUCAGUCAUUUGUCUGGUUGCAAAACUGCUUCUCCUCUGCCUGUCCAUUUUGGGUUUCUAAAUUCUGCCCCUGGGUUCAGUUCAGAACCUGUAAUUGGAUCAUUCAGGGGCUGACCUGCUGUGCAGUGUCGCAGUGUUCUUGUCUAUAUUCAUCUUGGAACCAACCCAUCUUGGAACUCACUUUUCAUUGCAAAACUUGACUGUGCUUCUUAUUUUAAAACCACUGCAUCUCUGAAAAAAACUACCACCCAUCGCCAAGCCACUUCCCACUUUGUGUUGCCAGUCCAAAAUAUAAUUUGUGUUUAGAAACCAAGGUACUUUCAAAACUGCUUUGGAGAUUUCUAAAAGUUCAGGUUAAAACACUCAGGAUCAUCAUCCCUGACUUCCCCCACCCACUACCCACAGCAUCCUUACUUUAGAGUUCCAGGUCUGCCACAGAUAAUCUGCCCAAUCUGUUUGCAGCAUCACCAGAAGGAAUUCUUCUCUGAUUAAUGUGUCAAAUUCAACUGUGAAGUUGUCCUUUGGGGAUUGAUCAGCAAGAGUUGUUCCUAAAUGUCCCUAUUUCACCUUUUAGGCAAAGCCCAUUGUGUUUUUAAGCCCCACUCACUUCCUUCUACUGGGCUGCCCUAUUCUAAACUGGAAUGUCCUAAUGACGUGAGGGGAAAUCAAGUGACUAGUGGGCGCUGUGUAUCCAAUGUGUAUUACCUGGUUAAGUCCUCCCCGCCAUCCUAGCAGCCUGGCUGUACUGUCCCAUUGCUGCUGAUGAGGAAAUGAGACAGAAUCAGGUUGGGUAACAUGUCUAGGGCCUGGUAAGUAGAAUUCACAUUUGCAUAUGUCUGACUCCAAAGCCUAAGCUCUUUCGCCUGCUCCAAUUAAUUAACUUCCUUGUUUGAAGGCUGAAACUCAUCAGGCAUAUUGCCUUGGACCAGCCAGUUAACCAACUCCGCACCUCAGGUUCCUUUCAAAGUGAAGCAGUGGGGCCAGAUGAAUGCUGAGGUCCCUCCUCUCUAACAUUCUCUCUGUUCCUAUCGCUCUCAGGCUAGUGGAAGAAAUAAAUAAGCCAAACUGAAGCAACAGAAACAAGGGUAAUACUAACAAUCACCACUUCCUGAGGGCCUAUCCUAUAUGGGGCGAGUGAAAACUUCACUUAUUUUAUCCUUCUAACAAAUCUGUGAUGUUCUUCUUAUUAUCCCACUUUUAUAGAUGAGGAGACUGAAGAUCAGAGAAGUCAGAGAUAUACCGAAAGUCACCCAGCCAGUAAGAAACAAACCCAGGGGUAUUUGAUUUCCAAGCCCAUAGUCACGCAUCCACCAUGCUACGUUGGGGGAAGGGGGGAAGGAGGGAGCAGGACACGCACUGUCAGAAAUGGUCGUUUAGGUCUGGGGAAGUAUCUACACCUGGCAGAGGGAUCCCGCGACAAGUCAGUUGGGAUGAGAAAGGGUGCUUGGGAGGACCAGGUAAUUAAAACCCCAUCUCAGUCUCCCUGACUUUGCUCCCAACUCUGGGCAGAUGUGUUCCUUAUGUCCAAGCACGGAGUGCUGUCCCAGCAGGAGCUUGGCUUGGUACCCAGUCUUGCUCGUGAUAGCCGCUUAGGCCCUAAGUCACAAAACCUUCUAUCUCAUUGCUUUUUUAUCUCAUCUUAUUACUGGGUCCAUACUUUUUCUGACCUCUUUGAACUUCAUCCCAAAUUGCCAGACCCCCAGUCCAAGCAUUACCAUACCCAAUGGAAGUGGGGCGAAUGGAAGUUCCCAUGGCCAGGAUCCUCACUUGACCCUAAACUACUUGAGGAUGUAAUUCACCUACUGCUCUGUUAAUGCUUCCACACCCUUAGGAGUGAGCUAUUAUUGACUGAGACACUAUAUAAAGAGCUCCACCCAAUGCUCUGGGCGGAGGCAGAGACGGAGGUGGAUUAUGGACCUGCAGACUGCUGGAUGCAGAUGUGAUUCUAGUGCUCAACCUAGUGCUGUGAGAAUAAAGCUGGGUAUAAGCCCUUUUAUCCCAAGAAUGUUCCCUUGUCAUUUCUCAGUCUCACUGAAUCCAUAGUGAACUUGCCUGUGGCUGAAAUCCUCAGGCAAGACCCCAAGACUCAGGGGCUGCCUGAAAGGUUUGCAGGAGUAUGAAGUCAUCACCAGCCAAAAUGGAAAAGGAUAAUUAAUGGGAAAGGAAAAUGGGUCUCUGAAGAAUAAGCAAGGGUCCAUUGUUGGAUAUUCUAAGCUGGUCAGCUGACUGAGAAAGAGUGGCCAAUUAUGAGGGGUGCUCGGGCAUGGUGUGAGGAUUGACAUCUACAGGCUGAAGGUUCCAGAAGGGGGACUAGUCAUGUUUACUGAGGCAGGUGUGUGGCUUGGCAGAGCACAGAGAUGAGCUUUGGGACCUGGUCCAUCUGAGUUGGGAUAAUACUUGGCUACUUCCUAUUUCUGGUUCAACUCACAGUCCCAGUCAGAGGAUGCCUGGAGCCUCACCAGAUCAGGGGGCGGUGCUGUAAACAUUAGAAAUAAUGUGCACAAUGCUCUAAGCACCCUGGAGAGGCAGAACAGAGGUAGGUCCUGUUACCAUUAUUAAGGAAAUAGCAUGAAAAAGGCUUUUUCCUGCCAUGAGUGCUCAAGCAAUCAUCGCCAUUUUUCAUGCUGUUUUCUUGUCUGAAAGUUGGGGGCGUGAUCAUUUGAUGAGUAAAAGCUGACAAUACUCAACUGGACCCGGACAUUCAGUUUCUGGAGACAACAUGGACCCUCUACUCCAAGCUUCAGGGAAGGAGUCACACAGCC